UGCAAGUCGAACGGUAGCACAGAGGAGCUUGCUCCUUGGGUGACGAGUGGCGGACGGGUGAGUAAUGUCUGGGAAACUGCCCGAUGGAGGGGGAUAACUACUGGAAACGGUAGCUAAUACCGCAUAACGUCGCAAGACCAAAGAGGGGGACCUUCGGGCCUCUUGCCAUCGGAUGUGCCCAGAUGGGAUUAGCUAGUAGGUGGGGUAACGGCUCACCUAGGCGACGAUCCCUAGCUGGUCUGAGAGGAUGACCAGCCACACUGGAACUGAGACACGGUCCACACUCCUACGGGAGGCAGCAGUGGGGAAUAUUGCACAAUGGGCGCAAGCCUGAUGCACCCAUGCCGCGUGUAUGAAAAAGGCCUUCGGGUUGUAAAGUACUUUCAGCGAGGAGGAAGGCGUUGGGGUUAAUAACCUUAGCGAUUGACGUUACUCGCAAAAGAAGCACCGGCUAACUCCGUGCCAGCACCCGCGGUAAUACGGAGGGUGCAAGCGUUAAUCAGAAUUACUGGGCGUAAAGCGCACGCGGGCGGUCUGUCAAGUCAGAUGUGAAAUCCCCGGGCUCAACCUGGGAACUGCAUCCAAAACUGGCAGGCUAGAGUCUUGUAGAGGGGGGUAGAAUUCCAGGUGUAGCGGUGAUAUGCUUAGAGAU
rnacentral:rRNA from 1 species